rnacentral:lncRNA from 1 species
GAAGAAAAUCAAAAAUUACCAUUUUCUCAUGCAUGCCUUCCCAGAACUCAGAACCCAAAUGUAAAUCUCUCACAGAAUUGAUGGGACCUGAGGGGACUGGAUUUGACUAGGAAAUGACAACACUGGACAGCUGUGGUUUCCCAUGCUGAGUGGACAGUGUGGUGAGGAAUUUAAUUAAAAAUGAAAAUUCGGUAGAAUUUUGUGAUAUGCUGUUGAAGUACAUACAUAAAGUAAAUAAUGUCGAAGUAGUGUCAGGAGUAGUGUCAAGGCAUUUAAUUCUAGCACUUGGGAUGCAGAGGCCAGUCUGGUCUACAGAGUGACUUCCAGCAAAGCUAGAAUGACACAGGUAAUCCCUGUCCAGAAAAAAAAAAAAAGAAGUUUUCAAACUUCCAACAUACUACAGAGGUACAAAGUAUUGUAUUUUAUUUUAGCGUUGGGAUUUUUAUUGUAAUAUUACAUGAUGUUUGCUUGUGUUUUGUGUUCUUUAAACCUUAAAUUUUUCCUUUUAGUUUUAUCUUACUGAUUUUUACAAUGCAUUUACUUAUGUAUUGCUUAUGAGCCAGGGCCUUCAGUUUAAGUAGCAGAAGAUGACACUGAACUGAUCCUCCUGUCUCUACCCCAGGUGCUGGGACCACUGAGCCAAUUUUACAUUUUAUAUAUAUAUAAAAAGAUAUGGUCUGAAACUGAGUGACAGCCUUCCCUAGAGUAUUAGUCCCCUGGAAAGCCAGUAGUGUCUCUGUCUGGACUCUGAGCGAUGUAGAAAGUGAAGGCAAAAUUGCUAAGUGCCAGCCACUGCCUCAGUACUGGCUGGUGGUCACAUGCUGUGUGUUCCUAACACCAUACUCAAGAUGUAUAGCCUCUGCCAGCCUCACCCACACAGACUAACCCCUGGCUCCUAUUUCUCCCAAGUACUGAGUCACAGCUUCUCUGGCACUCUUGGUUCAUGGUCCUCCAACUACAGUUUUUUUUUUUUCUAGUAGUCCUAGAAUGGAAGAUAUUCUGCGAGUAGUGAAUCCAAAACUGGAAUACAUUUUGGAUAUAAGGACACAAUGCUGUUUGAAAAGAUGUCAUACAUUAGAAGGAAGAAUCCUAUUUCUGUUAUAUUUUAAUAAUCACAGUCACUCGCAAAUGGGUCAAGUGUAUCUUGACAUGAAACUUCUCAAACUGUCCUGUUUCUGUUCCAUUGAUUUGCAGUUGACACUUGCUAGUUUUGAAUCACACCAGACACAGCCAACCUGGUUUCACAAAGCUAAGAUGUGAGGGAGGGAGGUGUACAUAGCUGAGCCAGUGCUGGAACAAGCCUUCACCAUGGCAUAUCCCCUGAAAGCUUGAGGUCCCCUAGAGCAUUCUGUCACUUGGUGCCCUGAGGUGGCUUGACCCCCAAGAGCCAUCCUUUUAUAUCAUCUCUUCUUGGCCUCAUUUUUAAGAGGAACAGCUCUGAAUCUGCACUGGCUUUUGCUUCUUAUUUCUCAUUUUAAACUCCUGGGGUCUGUUAAAGUCUCUCCAGGACACUUCAUUGUCCUGCAAUGUAUCGUUUAGCCAGUUAGUAAAGUGUCUUAUUUGUUAAGCUUUGAGAAUCUUGGGCCAGGUUCAUGUGGAGUUAACCUUUAAUCUCUGUGAGUUUGAGACCAGGGUUUUUUGAGACAGAGUUGGCUAUCCUGGACUCAUUUUGUAGACUAGGUUGACUCAUUUUGUACACUAAGCUGGUCUUGAACUCACAGAGGUCCACCUGCUUCUGCCUCCUGAGUGCUGUGAUUAAAGGCAUGUGCCACGCCACACCUAGCAUAACCAUGUUUUUACAGGAGUAAAACAUUGUAGCUUAUGUGGAUACCUUGAUAAUGAAAAAAAAA